rnacentral:tRNA from 2 species
ACUUGAGUAGUUUAAUAUAAAAUAUUGAUUUGUGGCAUCAGUGAUAUAAAUACUUAUCUUAGGUU